rnacentral:rRNA from 1 species
AUGAAACCUUUGAUUCAAAGAACCGCGCUUAGCCCCCCCGCUCAUGAACGGCUCUGCUGCAAUGGAUGGCAGAGGGUCCGUAGUACCUGAAGCACUGGAGUGAUCCAGUAGCCCGGAAGGGGCCUAGAAGUGCCUACUACUACACCACACUACACUUGGCUCUACACAUUUACAGAGCUUACCCCUGUACAGUGUCUGGAAGAACGUUGGGGGCUUCAAUCGUCGACUCGUUAUCCCCAUCUCAGCCCAGGCUAA